UACGGAGGGUGCGAGCGUUGUCCGGAAUCACUGGGCGUAAAGGGCGCGUAGGCGGCCUGAUAAGUAGGGGGUGAAAUCCUGCGGCUUAACCGCAGGGCUGCCUUCUAAACUGUCAGGCUCGAGCACAGUAGAGGCAGGUGGAAUUCCCGGUGUAGCGGCGGAAUGCGUAGAGAUCGGGAAGAACAUCAGUGGCGAAGGCGGCCUGCUGGGCUGGUUGCUGACGCUGAGGCGCGAC
rnacentral:rRNA from 1 species